UACGGGGGGUGCGAGCGUUGUCCGGAAUCACUGGGCGUAAAGGGUGCGUAGGCGGUUUGGUAAGUCUUGUGUGAAAUCUACAGGCUCAACUUGUAGUCUGCACGAGAAACUGCCGGGCUUGAGUGUGGGAGAGGUGAGUGGAAUUCCUGGUGUAGCGGUGAAAUGCGUAGAUAUCAGGAGGAACACCUGUGGCGAAAGCGGCUUCCUGGUCCGACACCGACGUUCAGGCACGAAAGCGUGGGGAGCAAACAGG
rnacentral:rRNA from 1 species